rnacentral:lncRNA from 1 species
CUUGGUCGCCUGGACUCCGGUUAGGCUUUAAUCUAGUCUUCGAUUAGACAUAAGGUCACACUUCAGCCCUCCCAACCCACAGAGGAGGCAUUGUGGCAGGACACCUGCCACAUCAUAGAUCGACAAGCGGUGCAUAGGUCCACACCCGGGAUCCGAACCAGCGCAAACCCCAGGCCACCGAAGCAGAACGUGCAAACGCAACCGCCACACCACUGGGCCAGAUCCGAAUUGUACAGUUUAAAUGAACAUAUUUUAUGAUAAAAAGUUCCGUGAAAGCAAGGACCAUCCCUUUUCAUCUCUGUGUCUCUUGCCGCUAGCCUGGUGCCACGAAGUCAGUGCUCAGCACAUGUUUGUUGAAGGAUGUUGUUGAAGACCCCGCCCAUGGCUGUCCACCAUCUAGUCCAUCCGGAACACCUCAGCACCAAGUUCAGGCUUCCAUCUUCUUGUUGUAGCGAGGUCAGCUUGCGGUGGAAUCCUCAAGGAAAGACUCCCCACAACAACACAACUUAAACAAAGUGGAUGGAGAGGAGAAAGGAAGGCACUGCCGGCAAUGUGAACAACACGAGCGAAGUUAGAGGGACAUGGGAGCUCUAUGAGGAAGGUAUUAUCACCAUUUUACAGAUGGGGAAACUAAGGCAGAGAGAGAGCAAGUAAGUUGUCCAAGGUCGCACAGCUGUUAAGGAAUGAAAAUACGUGGGACAAAAAGAAGACUGUCCUGAUUUGGUGACUUGAUCUGAUAGAAAACAGGUUUAUUCUUGCACUUUUCCUGUCAUCCCCUUUCCUUCCUGCUCACCACCAAAUAUUUCAUAAAUAUAUGGCAGAGCUUGUUUUCCACAACUCUGCAAAAACAUCCCUUAGUCCCUGACCCAAGGGGUGAGAAAUCCAUUGUAAUCCUUGCUCCUGGAUAUAGUUACAGAAAUAAUGCCAAGGAGUUUUCCUAGCUUCAUUUCUUUAACUUCCUUUCGCAAACACAGCGUGGCAUGUUUUUAAAUUAGUUUCUUCCUACAAGUAUAAAUUGCCCUUGAAAUUUAGUUUUUUGUGUCUAAAACAAUCUUUUUUCUGUUUCCUUAACUUGGGCCAAAACUGAGACAGCUUACUGAAAUGCACAAACUCAUUACCUCCCUUAUGACUGCUCUCCCUUCCUGUAUUUAUACUUCCCUUUGGAAAAUAUCCCUUUUCCCAAACACACUUGAAAAACUCAUUUAUCAGUAAGUGAGGGGAAAUCUCACCUUUACUGAUCGCUUUUAGGAUUACUUUAACUUAACAUUAUUGAAUAAAAAACUGUGUUCUGUUGAGUCAGGAUCUUCAUGAUGGAAAGACUCGACUUUGGGCCCUGUUAUGGGCUGCAUUAGGUCCCCCGAAAUUCUUAUGUUGAC